rnacentral:rRNA from 1 species
AUGGCGCGGGAGGAGGAAGGACCCGCAAUGAUGGACGCCGCGGGGCGACGCCUCCGCGUGGUCUCCGCGCACCUAGAGCCGCAGGCCGGCGCCACCGCGAGCCUCGCCGCUAACCCCACCGCCGGCGAGUACGCCCACGUGCAGGGCUACAGCGUUGUUCUGCCUGAAAAGUUGCAAACUGGAAAGUGGAAUGUGUACCGAUCUGCAGAGUCACCUCUGCGUUUAAUUAACAGAUUUCCUGCUACUCCAGACAUUGGAACACUGCAUGAUAAUUUUGUGUAUGCAGUUGAGACUUUUACAGAUUGUAGAUAUCUGGGUACAAGAGUGUGCGCUGAUGGAGCAGUUGGAGAUUACAAAUGGAUGACGUAUGGAGAAGCUAGUACAAGCAGGUCUGCAAUAGGUUCUGGUCUUAUUUAUCAUGGAACAUCUGAAGGUGCACGCAUUGGUCUGUAUUUUAUAAACAGACCUGAGUGGAUCAUAGUUGAUCAUGCUUGUGCUGCAUAUUCAUAUGUAUCUGUGCCACUUUAUGAUACUCUUGGUCCAGAUGCAGUUCAGUUCAUUGUGAACCAUGCAACAGUAGAAGCUAUUUUCUGUGUGCCUCAAACGCUAAGCACUCUGCUAAGCUUCCUAACUCAAAUGCCAUGUGUUCGUCUUAUAGUGGUAGUUGGUGGAGACAAUGCAAAUAUGCCAUCUGCAACAGCAGCUGCUGGAGUGGAAAUCAUAACUUACUCCAGGUUACACAGCCAGGGAAAGAUGAGUUCUCAAACUUACCGUCCUCCAAAACCUGAAGAUGUUGCCACUAUCUGCUACACGAGUGGCACUACUGGCACACCAAAGGGAGCUGUUCUUUCUCAUGAGAACUUAAUAGCGAAUGUUGCAGGAUCAAGCUUGGGCGUUAAGUUUUACCCCUCCGACGUGUAUAUCUCAUAUCUACCUUUAGCUCACAUCUAUGAGAGAGCUAACCAAAUUGCACUGCUUCACUAUGGUGUUGCCAUUGGAUUUUACCAAGGGGAUAAUUUGAAGCUGAUGGAUGAUUUGGCUGCUUUGAGACCAACCGUAUUCGCAAGUGUUCCCCGGCUAUAUAACAGAAUUUAUUCUGCAAUCACAAAUGCUGUGAAGGAUUCCGGUGGGCUAAAAGAAAGAUUAUUCCGUACUGCGUACAACGCCAAGAGACAAGCACUUAUGAAUGGACGAAAUCCUUCCCCAAUGUGGGAUAAGUUGGUAUUUAAUAAAAUAAAAGCUAGGCUUGGUGGACGAGUGAGGCUUAUGACUUCAGGCGCUUCUCCAUUGUCAGCAGAUGUAAUGGAAUUCCUAAGAAUAUGCUUUGGUGGUGAGGUUCUUGAAGGCUAUGGAAUGACAGAGACAUCUUGUGUCAUCACUACAAUGGAUAUUGGUGACAAAUUAAUUGGUCAUGUUGGAUCACCAAACCCUUCCUGUGAGGUUAAACUUGUGGAUGUCCCAGAAAUGAAUUACACUUCUGAGGAUCAACCAUAUCCUCGUGGAGAAAUCUGUGUUAGAGGACCUACAAUAUUCCGCGGUUACUAUAAAGACGAAGUCCAAACAAGAGAUGUCAUUGACAAUGAUGGCUGGUUGCACACUGGAGACAUAGGUUUGUGGCUGCCUGGAGGGCGUCUAAAAAUUAUAGAUAGGAAAAAGAACAUUUUCAAGUUGGCUCAAGGAGAGUACAUAGCUCCAGAGAAGAUUGAGAAUGUGUACGCUAAGUGCAAGUUCAUUGCUCAAUGCUUUAUAUAUGGUGAUAGUUUCAACUCUUUUCUAGUUGCCAUUGUAGCAGUUGAACCAGAUGUUUUGAAGGCUUGGGCUGCAUCAGAAGGAAUACAAAGCGAGGAUUUAAGACAGCUUUGUGCUGACCCAAGAGCAAAAGCUGCUGUCUUGGCUGACAUGGAUUCUAUUGGAAAGGAAGCACAGCUAAGAGGUUUUGAAUUCGCCAAAGCUGUUACUCUUGUUGCUGAACCAUUCACAGUAGAAAAUGGUCUCCUCACCCCCACGUUCAAGGUCAAAAGACCGCAAGCUAAGGCCUAUUUCGCGAAAGAACUCGCAGAUAUGUAUGCACAGCUGCGUGACGCCGAAUCAGCUAGGCAGAAGUUGUAA